rnacentral:rRNA from 1 species
AUUGAACGCUGGCGGAAUGCUUUACACAUGCAAGUCGAACGGCAGCACGGGGCAACCUGGUGGCGAGUGGCGAACGGGUGAGUAAUACAUCGGAACGUGCCCAAUCGUGGGGGAUAACGUAGCGAAAGUUACGCUAAUACCGCAUACGAUCUACGGAUGAAAGCGGGGGAUCGCAAGACCUCGCGCGAAUGGAGCGGCCGAUGUCAGAUUAGGUAGUUGGUGGGGUAAAGGCUCACCAAGCCAACGAUCUGUAGCUGGUCUGAGAGGACGACCAGCCACACUGGAACUGAGACACGGUCCAGACUCCUACGGGAGGCAGCAGUGGGGAAUUUUGGGACAAAUGGGCGCAAGCCUGAUCCAGCCAUGCCGCGUGAGUGAAGAAGGCCUCGG